CUAUACGCCCAGCUCUCAACAUUCCUUUCUAAAAUAUAUGACUCCUUUAGAGUGUAAGGAUCAAAAGGAUCACAUGUGGCUUCCAUGAAAAGAAAGGUAUUUUGAAAUUGCAGUGCAUAAAAAAAACAUACAAUUCAAGGGGAACUUUACACAUAGUUUUAAAUAAUGUUAUCAUCACUAACCAUUCUGACAUGGAACAAUACUAAAUGAAAUCACUCUUUUAAAAAAUGAAAAGAUCAACGUAUACCAGGCAAUGAAAUGAUAAGCUCUAUGGAGAGCAGCUAUUACCAAAAAGCCAGAGAGGCUUUCUGCAGUGGACAUGUAUGUAUAAAGGACUCCAAGUUGAAUGUUAUGUCUCUCAUAUUUUUCCUUGCAUAUAAAUUAUAAAAACUGGGCCUCACACUUUGAGGGAAUCGUCCAUUUUGUCUAAC
rnacentral:lncRNA from 1 species